ensembl:snoRNA
AUCCUUUUGUAGUUCAUACACGUGACAAUUGGGUUUUCAUGCACAUGUGUGAGAUGUGCCUCCUUCAAACCUUGUUACUAAGUUGGCACAUUACCCGCCUGACA